rnacentral:rRNA from 1 species
GACGUAGGGCGCGAGCGUUGUCCGGAUUUAUUGGGCGUAAAGAGCUCGUAGGCGGUUUGUCGCGUCUGCCGUGAAAGUCCGGGGCUCAACUCCGGAUCUGCGGUGGGUACGGGCAGACUAGAGUGAUGUAGGGGAGACUGGAAUUCCUGGUGUAGCGGUGGAAUGCGCAGAUAUCAGGAGGAACACCAAUAGCGAAGGCAGCUCGCUGGGACGUUACUGACACUGAGGCGCGAAAGCGUGGGGGAGCGAACAGG